rnacentral:misc_RNA from 1 species
UCGUAACAAGGUUUCCGUAGGUGAACCUGCGGAAGGAUCAUUACCGAGUGCGGGCCCUCGUGGCCCAACCUCCCACCCUUGUCUCUAUACACCUGUUGCUUUGGCGGGCCCACCGGGGCCACCUGGUCGCCGGGGGACAUCUGUCCCCGGGCCCGCGCCCGCCGAAGCGCUCUGUGAACCCUGAUGAAGAUGGGCUGUCUGAGUACUAUGAAAAUUGUCAAAACUUUCAACAAUGGAUCUCUUGGUUCCGGCAUCGAUGAAGAACGCAGCGAAAUGCGAUAAGUAAUGUGAAUUGCAGAAUUCCGUGAAUCAUCGAAUCUUUGAACGCACAUUGCGCCCCCUGGCAUUCCGGGGGGCAUGCCUGUCCGAGCGUCAUUUCUGCCCUCAAGCACGGCUUGUGUGUUGGGUGCGGUCCCCCCGGGGACCUGCCCGAAAGGCAGCGGCGACGUCCGUCUGGUCCUCGAGCGUAUGGGGCUUUGUCACUCGCUCGGGAAGGACUGGCGGGGGUUGGUCACCACCAAAAUUUUACCACGGUUGACCUCGGAUCAGGUAGGAGUUACCCGCUGAACUUAAGCAUAUCA